AAAAUUUCGAUCCAUCAACCCUCCCAUGAUGGGUCGAAUUCGCUCUGAAGGCACCUCCUCCCAAGCUUCUCAGAGCAAACUAGAAACGCUCGCUGCUCCUCCCGCAGCGAGCGUUUUUG
rnacentral:sRNA from 1 species